UAGCUGGGUUUGGGAUGACGGGGAGAAUUGCAUGGUGACUUGCCUGCCUGGUACAAAGGUUGCGGAUCUCUCGAGAUAUCUAGAUAGACUUAUGCGUAGUGCUGGGGAGGAGCCGGUGGUCGUGGAACACGGAGGUAUCAAUUGUGAGCCUACACCCCAUGUUCUUCAUAGAGAUAUGCUUCUGAUAUGACAUAACUAAGAUAUGUGUUUAUGCAAGAUGGGUCACGUAAGGUAUAAUUGGAAAGGUUCUGAUUUACUGAAUAUGAUUAUCCUAUUUGUAUGCAUGUAUCAUUUCUGUAUCCAAAGUUAAGAAUAUCGACCAUGUAACAAUUACAACUAUGUUUACAUUUGGGGUACGCCCCCCAGACAGUAUGCAAUCAGCCUGGAUGGGCCAUUUGGGAGAACAAUAGGACUCUGAAGAUGCUAAUCUCCCACCUUCCUGAGGAGUUUCCUGGGAUGCUGUGAUCAUGUCACCUGGUACUGGAUUACAUCUUGGAUUUCUGGUAUUUUUCCACUGUGUGUGUGUGUGUGAGAGGGAACCACACUGAGAGACAAAAGAUUCCCACCAUAUGUAAAUUCUGUUUAAGGCGGGGAAGUGAGGUAAUCCGGGUUCUUCUCCACUUCCCUCCCACCCAAGAAGGAAGACUGCUGAAAACACGUGAAGAAACAAAGGAACUAAGCUUGAAGAGGAGGCAGGGGCUGAGCCCAGGUGAGAAAGGUCUAGCCUGUGAAAGGAAUAUCUGGAGAUCUAAGCUGCAAGCAGUUACCUUCAAGAAACUCUACAACCUGUAUGAACACUUAGGCAAUCUAGAACUGUCCCCUCCCCAUUUAAGGAAAAAAAGUUAUUUCUCUUCUGUAUUAUACCAUAGUGUUUUGCAGUUCUCUACAUCACUAUCAAAUGCAGUUUUAAUCUGAAGAAUAACUAUCUACAAAUGGUACCUCUUAAUCCAACAGAUGCACUCUCUGUAUGUUAGGUCCAACAAUUCUGAUUUCCACAUUCUGAAGCCUAAGGUUGUUCAAGGAAAGGAUAGUUGGGGAUGUGAAAGGAUGGGGACUUUAUCCUGUGAAGCGCUGACUCUGAAAAAAACUUGGGAGUAAUGGUGGAUAAUCAGAUGAACAUGAGUUCCCAGUGUAAUGUUGUGGUCAAAAGGGUGAAUGCAAUCCUGGAUGUGUAAACAUGUGACUCUUGGGUAGGAGCAGGGGAAUAAAGCAACGCUUCAGAAAGGAAAACUUAGAAAUGGUAGAGGGGAGAUAAAAGGAAAGACCCUUUUCUCAGAAGGACAGACUCGACUCCCUUCCAUAACUGUCGCCGGUGGAUUUAGCUUACAAUAAGGGUGUCCCUCCCUCCCUGUAUGAUGUAAUAAAAAUGAAGAAAAGACAAGGUAAUAUGGUGCAAACAAAGGUAAGUGAUUAAGAGUAAAGGUAACUGGGAAAACGGCGGUGGGGGAUGAAACACAAACUUAACUGUACAGUGAUUCCGUGACUGGCUCUAGCAGCUUGAAGCUCAGACCCACAAAACCUCCCUUGGCAGUCAGAAAAACAAUAAAUGAAGCCUCAAUACAGAAACCUUUCUUACGAUUUAGACGCAGUGGACACUAUGCACAGACGCGAGGCCCAGGACCUUCUACUCUCCAGCUAAUUGGAAGCCUUUGAGGAGGACAGCUGUGGAGUCCCGACGACUGCUGGAUUUCGUCGCAGGCAGGGAGACCCUCUGGGAUUAUGGACACCAGGAAAGCAGGACCCUCCACAGGUUGGAAACAUAAGCUCAUGUGUACACUUCCAAAGGAAUGAAGUAGGGAACCUUCACACUCUUGCAAACCUGAGUAAGAGCCAGGAGGAGAGCCAUAGUCCUCCUUAAGGCUGGAAGGAGAGGAGCUCUGUUGUGCACACUAGGAGCUUGAUUGCGUACUUCCAGUUCCAGAUGAGGUGUGUGGUUGACCAGUCAGUUCGUAACUCUUGGGCUCAUAACUCUGAGGAUCUACUGUACUGUGAAUAUGAAAAUUUGACUAAGUUUCACAAUUAUUGUCCCGCUUGCUACUAGUAAAACUAAGGAUUCUACAAUCCUGCGUAAAUGGUCUAAGUGAUCAGAAGCUAAUGAAAAAAUUGCUUAUUUGGAUGCUAAACUGCUGAAAGCUGACCAGAUAAUUAAUGUAAGAGCCUUGUAGUGAGUUGCUAUAUAUUAACUUUUUUGUCAUUUUUUAAAUUAUAGCUAAGCUUAUUGAGUCUUUAGUUGCUUACUAAAUUAUUUUUAUACUUUUGUGACAAAUGUGUGUAUAUAUAUAUAUAUAUAUAUAUAUAUAUAUAUAUAUAUAUAUAUAUAUAUAUAUAGCUUAUUUAGUUAUGUUUUCAUUUUAAAAUAUACUAAUAUUGUUGACUCUCAAAACAGUCCCUAAAUUAGAUUAAUCAACAUUCUUAUUUCCUUCCCCCUAAACUAUUUUCAGAAGAGUGGUUGCACUAUAUGUGAAAAUUCAAAUACAGUAAGAGCUACAAGAAUGACUGAAGGUUUGAAAACCUACCUUAUACUGAGACACUAACGAAACUCAAUAUAUUUAGCUUGACAACGAGGAGGUUAAGAGGUGACUUGAUCAUAGUCUGUAGGUACCUACAUUGGGAGAAGAUUUCUGACAGUAGAGGGUUCUUUAAUCUAGCAAAAGCAUAACAAGAUCAAAUGACUGGAAGUGAAGCUAGACAAAUUCAAACUUGAAAUAAGGUGCUAAUAUUUUACAGAGAGCAUAUAACCAUUGGAACAAAUUAUGUAGCGAUCGGGGGUGGGAGGGGUUCUCUAUCACUUGAAUUCUCUCAAAGGUGUGCACUAGCUCAGCCAGGAGUUAUGGAUUUGAUGCCGGUCUCAUGUAGGAAGUCAGACUAGAUUAUCACAAUACUCCCUUAAGUCUUAAAAUCUAUGAAUCACUAUAUGAUUUAAGUGGACCACAAAAUGGCAGAUCUGGAGAGAAGAAAGGUGAGUAAUAAGGGGAAAAGUAUCCCCAAUAUCAGAUAGUCUACAAAGCCAUUUUGCAGACUCUGUGCACGCUGCACUGAAGAAUGAGGGAAUGGCUGUAGCACCAGAGACUUUCUCUCUCUAUACUAAGAAUCCCCUCCUCAAAAGCAGGGCCUUUUCCAAGAAGACCUCUUCCUCCCUUCAAAGUUAUCCUGCUAAGGAGUUUAUAAAGCACAUCUCCUUUCAAAUAUCACUGAAAAUGCUUGGAAUCUAUAGGUUCACAAAAGCCUCCUCACUAAAAUCUAGGUUAAUAUAUAACUGAAAUGGUUGUUGGGUGGAAGAGUUUUCAGGAAAGAACUGCAUUAAAUAUUUCCUGUUACAGACCAGGAGGGUAAACACAAAAUUCCACACACAGGAACAUCUUCCUCUUUCUCUGAUGAUUCUUCCCAAAGAUAUUAAAAAAAAAAAAACCAAAAAACCCAAAAAACAAAAACCUACAGUGAAAUCUUCAGAAGAGGGAGAGUUAAAGCUCAGAUUUAUGUUAUGAGGACUGAUUCUAAUUUAUUAUCAUCUAAGAGAUUUCUUCCUCUUUUCCUGAAGACUGAUUUGUGUUCUCUACACUGUAGAUUGUACAAUGGGGCUGAUUGAGAUGACCGUAUGAUAGUUUGUUGACACAAUCUUGGACAUACUCAUCUUCUGCUAAAUGAGAUUUCUCUAUGUUAAAGUCAUCACAGAUAAUGAUUCUUGUGUCCCUUGAAAACAUAGUGGUCUUGGAAUGGCUACCUUGGAGAACAACGGGUCAGUUAAUUGAGCUUCAGUAAAUUAUAUUAGGUUUCAACUACAAAUUAGAAAAUUUAUCCUCAGCACUCAUUAAUACCAACUUCCUGACAUUCUGUCACAGCCAUCAUCUUAAAAACCAACAACAAUAACAAACCCGCACCAUCACCACCAUCUAGAUAUAGAGCUGGACCUCUUUAGAACUUGUGACAAAAGUAGAAAAUUCCUUUUGAAAGAUAGGCCUAAAUCAGCAGCCAUUGGCAUGAGGGCCAUAUCCUGUACCGUAUAGUUACUGCAGGUACCUCCUUAACUGGACCUUAUGGUAGUGUCAUUCUCAGAAUGAAGCUAGAAAAGGAGACUAUAAAGUAAUUGAAAUCUCUCAAAUCUGCUUGUUCUCCUUCAUGUGAAGAAACUCUCACGAUGUUCCCAAAGUGUUUUGGGAUUCUUGUAUAGAGAUUCUUGUAUAGGGAUUCUUGUAUGCUAGGUAAGUGCUAACAUAUAUUUAUAAUAAUUGUUGCUUUCUUUGCCUCCGAGUAUCUCUAUUAUGUAAAGCCAGGCCCAGUGAAUGUGUAGUUUAGAGCUCUAGAUAGUGAUCAAGCUCUUAAGGAAAUUCCUGGAAAAAGUGUGGAAAGAUUUUUCUUUUUGUGAUUCCUUCAGAGAUUCAAGUUACAUUUGAAAAUUCCAAACUAUCACCCGCUGACAAUCCUUAGGCCAUUUUCUGCUACAGACUUCAGGAAAUACUUCUCUAACUAUUCUAGCUACAGGUCUUUCUUGGCUGUUCAGGGGAAAUAGUCAAAAUAAUGCUUAACCCACUAUACAGCAUAUUCUAACUUCAAAGUGAUUUACAAAUAUUAAUCUUCACUUAAAAGUAAAUUGUUCUAUUCCUUUUUUACAGAUGAAAGUACUAAAGCAGAAGGAUUAAGGUGUAUAUUAAAAAGUGCAUACACAAAAGUAUGCUUGCAUUUCUGUAUGUGUAAAACCUUACUCUUGGGGGAAUUCUGUGCCAGCGUGCAAUGCAGAAUUUGCACAAAAUCAAUGUUCUGGGCAGAAUUUCAUUUUCCCCCCACAGAAUUGGUGUGAACGAACUUCUGGUCUCUAUUAGGGUGAGGGCGGGCUGCAGUUCCCAGGUUUGUUGGUCCUGCUCGGACAUGGUGCAGCUGGGAUCCCGUGGGGAGAGGCAAGAGCAAGACACUGCUGCUUUCUGGGAAGAGAGAGACUGAGAGUAAGGGGUCUUCAGAGUUGGGGACGUGACUCGAGAUGUACCAGGGGCAGCGGAACCCUUAAAUUGUGCCCCCUCCCCACUAUCAGCAGAUACAGGUCUUCGUUGCCUGGCAGGACAGUAAUAAAGUUGUGCAGAGCAAAGCCUGCGGCUGGGUUUUGGUGGGGAGAGGCGAUGCAAGUCCCGUGGCUGCGCUGUCGGGGGGAGGGAGGGCGGUGCGGGUGUCUGGCCCUGCAGCUGGACUCUGGGGGGAAGUUGGUGUGGGUGAUUGGGCUGGGGGGGGCAUGCAGUCCCCUCCAGCACUCCCCAAAUGUGUGUAUGUAUUGAUACAUACACACUCCUCCAGCAUCCCCCAAUAUCCUCUCCUAGUACUAGAUCACUAAAAACUUGUGAAUAUUUCAUUGUUGCAUAAGUUUUUACUUGGUUCCAUGUUAUGCAGACUGGCGGCAGCAUGCAUGUGACCCUAAGAGGCCCUACUAGAACUGCCUCCUGGAAAAGGGUUCACUGUCAUAUAACAGUGUGACCCAGAGCACCCAAGUAUUCACACCCUACAUGAUAUUGUUGUAAUCUUUGUAUAAAAUAUGCCUUGUGAUUUAAACCAGGCAUGUAAGGGGGAGUUUGUGAACAGGUCUUUCCUAAAGAAAGGAAUGUGGGUUUACCUCAAUUUACAUAUAAGCAGGAAACAGGACCAUCAAGACAGCAGGGAAAGGAACAAUUUGCCUUUUAGCAAACAUCAGCGGAGGGGUGGGAAACAGCAUGGAGCUUACUUUACCAUGAGACUCCAUGUCACCUUCCUUACAGCUUGUAUAAACUUUACUUUGAGGUGUAACCUUCAGAAGAAUGAAUUUCAAAGGAUCAUGAGAGUUUAAAAAGAAAUGCUGAAACCCCCAAGUUAUCUCUUCCACCUAAGAAGACAAAUGGUACAGCACUUCUGGGCAUCUGAAAGAGAACCUCACCAAGGUGGGGAUCAGCCACCAUCUUGCUGGAAGACUGUGCGUGAGAAAAGCCAUCUUGAACAAAGCCUGUACCUUAGAAAAUUAAGAUGUAGACUUUUAGGUGUGUGUUUUCACUUUUAUUUGCUUGUAACCAUUUCUAACUUCAUCUCUCAUACCUGAACUCACUUAAGAGCCUAUCUUCUUUUUGUUAAUAAACUUGAUUUACUAUUAAACUAAGCCAGUUAAAAUAUAUUUGAAUGAAAGUGAAUGUUAACCCCAGCUAAUAAGGCAAGCUGGUGGGGUUUGUCCCUUUAAAGGAGAAAACGGAUCUUAUUACUCCUCUGAAUGUGGCAGAAGUGGGCUGGACACUACAGAGCACAGUGGUUUGGAAAUAUCGGGACUGGGGGCGCGUUGGGGUCAUCUGCUUACGUUAACAGGUCUGGUAAAGAUAACAGUAUGUCUCUAAUAACUGCUGGCACGUUGUUGGAUUCAAAGUGGUUGAAUCAGAACAGGGAGCCACAAGUAGCAGAAGUAUCUUGGAGAACUCAGGGUUAUAAAACAGUGACACAAUCUCUCACUGGUCUGAAUUGCACCUCAGAAUAUGACAAACAGUGGCUUCUAUCUGGCCUGAGAAACUGACUACACCUAAUCCGUUGCUCUCAUGGUAUGUAUCUGUAAAGAAUAUUGUGUAAGGUAUCAGUUGAAAGCUUAUAUCAUACUGGUCAUCAUAAUCAUUGUGUGAUGUAUGUAUGGGUAACAAUUGAAAAGUCAUAUGGGUAUACUGAAAAUAUGUUUAAACCAAACAUACCAGGCAGGGUCAAUAGACAAGGUUUUCCUAGACAAAGGAAUGUUGAUUUACCUGUCUGUCUAUGUCUCUGGUGUAAAUUGAGCAUGAUAAAAGCCAACACAAAGUAAGCUUUGUUUGCAUGCUAAGUCAACAGGAAAAGUCAGCAGGGGAGAAGAACUUUGUCUAGGGAUAAACUUCAAAAGAAUACACAUUAAAGAUUUUCUGGAUUAUAAGAAGAAGGGGACCGAACUUCUGGGUUAUAUAUCACUGAGUGAACAAAGUAGUCAGAGCCUUCCGUAUCAAUGAUUGGUGGAUCCCCAGCCAUGUGGGCUAGUGACUCUGAGAUGUGGCUUUAGGUGGGAAACUGCCUUAGAAAAGACUGUAGCUGCUUAAGUUUUAGUCACUAGAAAGCAAGUUAUACUUUUGUUUUAUUUGUAGCAAUUUGCUGUUUCUGUUUGAUUUGGUUAGUAUCACUUAAAUCUUUAUUCACUUUUAAUAAACGUAUUCUUGGUUUUACUAUAUAUUUAUCUCAGUUCUGUAAUAUUAAAGUGUGAAUCCUCAGCUAAGCUAACAGGCUGCUGUGUGUAUUGUCUCUUUGGAGACAGCAGAUUUGGUAAUUUCUGAGAGUGUCCAGUGACAGGGGCUGAAUACUGCAGAGGAAGGCACUUCCACAAGGUUCAGGAACUGGGGUGCACCAAGUGUUACCUGUAAGGCAAAGUAAAGGCUGUUAUGGUCCCAAAAGUUUUUUAGGCAAGCUAACCAACUGGGAUGGCAGGGCGUUAUUACUCAGUUUAGAACCAGCAAAUCUCUCUUUUGCUAAGGCAGAGGGCUAACAAGGUCACAGUUCUGGAUGCCCUGAAAAAAGUCACAUUGGUCUUGUAGUUAAGGCAGAUAUGAGGUCAAAUUUCUCUUCCUGACUCUGCAAAUGACUUGCUGCUAUGAUCUUGACAAAUCACUUAACCCCUCCAUGCCUAAAUUCUCCAAUAUGAAAAUAGGAAUAAUAUAUUUAAUAUUCUUUUUAUAAUGGUUUGAGAUCCUUGGAUGAAAGUUGCUAUGUAAGUGCAGGAUAGUAGUAAUAGUAAUUAUGUCUGUACAGUCAUCCUCUUGGAAAUACAUUUUUGUGGCUUUGUUACUUCCGCUUCCUAUCUUUAAGGGAAGUAUUGGUGUCAACAUCAUCAUCAGCCUAUACCCUAGCAGAUUGUUCCUGAUUUUAAGAACAUAUUUAAAGCUUUCUCAUAAUGGAGAAAAAAUUACAUAUAAAUAACAUUUCUAUUUUUAUGUAUGAAAUUAAUAUUUCACUCACAAACAUGAAUCACUUGAUGUAAUUGGCCUUGUUAUUUACAUCAUUCUGUAUUGUAAUUUAGUGGCUGUUUUUGUAAACAGUACUUCUAUGUAUGACAUCACUGGCAUUUAACUGGCUACUAAUAAAAACAUAAACAUUCCUUUUUGUAAGCCUAUAUUACAGGUUUCUGUGCAUUAUAUUUCAUCAUAUGGCCUAUCACAACUUUUUAUAGUUCAGUACAUUGCAGAAACAUUGCAUUGCAUUACCUUGAAAAAAACAGUGUGUUAGCAGUACUUUAGGAACACUGUAACAUAAUACAUUUUAAGAUUGCUAGGAUUUAAGAAAAAAAAUUAAGCAGGGGACCUGAAAGUAGGGUUUAAUAAUUUAUCAGAUACCAACCAGCUAAAGGAUUCUAGGUAGAGGUUGAUAAUUAAAAUGAGGCUGAUAUGGAGAUUCCUAUGGUAAGAUUCAGGGAUAAUACCCUUGUGAAAAACACAAAAUGGGGAGGACCCUGCUAUUUCUACCAUAUCCUGUUCCUGGUUGUGGAUUCUGUCUUUCAUAUCAGCCUCUGGCUAUUACGUGUCUUACAAAUGUGAAGCUCUCUACUUCUUCUAACUGCUGAGAAGGAGAAGCUUUUUGUAUCUCGCCUUCCCCACCCUUCAGAGCCUCUUGGCUGCUGAGGGAAAUAAGUCUCUGCUACUCUACCUGUCCCUUAGUAUCUGCUUAUUGGGUUCUUCUCCUCACUGAGUAACUCAAGUAUUUGCCUCUGCUGCUGCCCAUAUGUUUGCCAAGCUGUGGCUACAUUAAUUUUUUUUUAAUAUGUUGCUGCUUGGUAAAGCUGUGAAUUAUAGUAGAAGCACUGGACCUGUCUGACUGCAGUCCAGAAGUUAAAACAGUAUAUCAGUUUACACGUGGUUCACUGCAACCAUAAAGCCUAGAUUUUUUUUUUUUUUGGCAUAUAAAACUGAUAUUGUAAGUCCCCUCACUCAUCAGGCCAAGUGAAUGAGUGAAUUUUUUCAAGCCUAAAAUAAAUUUUCUGUUUAGCUUUUUUGGUUUUUAAAUUUGUCAUAGUUUAAAUAGUUUGUUUGUUUGUUUUUAAAUACUGUUACCUGUGGCAACCUGGAUUGAUGUAGUCAAACAUGAAGGGAUGAAGAUUUUGAAGCGGAGUCCAUUCCUAUGGAAUAAAACCAAAGAUGGAAAGUGAAGUUGUAGCCGUAUACUCUGGCUCUUUAGUACUAAUUACAAAUAUGACUAAUAUAUCUGUCAUAGUUUCCAUGUUUAAGUUGCUCAUUUUGGUAAACUGGUUUAGCUACACUUUGAGAAAAAGGUAAAUAAGUACUUGUAGCUUAGUAUUUAUUGUUACAUGGCUAAAGUAUGUAGAAUCCCUGCUGUACAGCAGUCUCUUGUCAAUCAGUUAUAUUUAAAUAUUUAUUCUUGUUCAGACUCAUCUUUCCUAAGCCAUCAUUGCUCCUUUGCAGGGUACUUACUGAUUUUCAGAAUAACUCCUUGAGCACAUAUAGCAAUGUGCAGUCAUUUGGAAUAAGUAAUUUUAAAAAGCAAUAUAAAAUCCCAGUUCUUUUGUUCUUCUACUCUUCACAAGUGGUAAUAUAGAAAAGGUAUAUUAAGUCAAAUCUUUUGGGAUUUAUGUUGUAUUCAAUGGAUAGUUUAUUUGAUGUUUGAAUAAAUGUUUGCCUCUG